AGUGGAAGCGUCUGGAAAGGUGCGCGAUACAGGGUGACAGCCCCGUACACAAAAGCGCAUGUGCUGUGAGCUCGAUGAGUAGGGCGGGACACGUGGUAUCCUGUCUGAAUAUGGGGGGACCAUCCUCCAAGGCUAAAUACUCCUGACUGACCGAUAGUGAACCAGUACCGUGAGGGAAAGGCGAAAAGAACCCCGGCGAGGGGAGUGAAAAAGAACCUGAAACCGUGUACGUACAAGCAGUGGGAGCACCCUUCGGGGUGUGACUGCGUACCUUUUGUA
rnacentral:rRNA from 1 species